AUGGGACGAAAGUCUGACCGAGCAACGCCGCGUGAGUGAAGAAGGUUUUCGGAUCGUAAAACUCUGUUGUUAGAGAAGAACAAGGACGUUAGUAACUGAACGUCCCCUGACGGUAUCUAACCAGAAAGCCACGGCUAACUACGUGCCAGCAGCCGCGGUAAUACGUAGGUGGCAAGCGUUGUCCGGAUUUAUUGGGCGUAAAGCGAGCGCAGGCGGUUUCUUAAGUCUGAUGUGAAAGCCCCCGGCUCAACCGGGGAGGGUCAUUGGAAACUGGGAGACUUGAGUGCAGAAGAGGAGAGUGGAAUUCCAUGUGUAGCGGUGAAAUGCGUAGAUAUAUGGAGGAACACCAGUGGCGAAGGCGGCUCUCUGGUCUGUAACUGACGCUGAGGCUCGAAAGCGUGGGGAGCAAACAGGAUUAGAUACCCUGGUAGUCCCAA
rnacentral:rRNA from 1 species